rnacentral:rRNA from 1 species
UACGAAGGGGGCGAGCGUUGUUCGGAAUCACUGGGCGUAAAGGGCGCGUAGGCGGCCCUCUUAGUCGCGUGUGAAAGCCCCGGGCUCAACCUGGGAACGGCGCGCGAAACGGGAGGGCUGGAGUUCGGGAGAGGAGAGUGGAAUUCCCAGUGUAGAGGUGAAAUUCGUAGAUAUUGGGAAGAACACCGGUGGCGAAGGCGGCUCUCUGGACCGAGACUGACGCUGAGGCGCGAAAGCCAGGGGAGCGAACGGG